rnacentral:tRNA from 1 species
GGCUCUAUGGUGUAAAGGUAACACGGGGCGUUGUCAACGCUCAGUCGCGGGUUCGAUUUCCCGCUGGAGCCGCCA